AGAGAUGUGUGAUGACGCAUAUCAAUAAGCGGAGGAAAAGAAACUAACAAGGAUUCCCUUAGUAACGGCGAGUGAAGCGGGAAGAGCUCAAGUUUGAAAUCUUCAAGGUUCUACCUUGACGAAUUGUAGUUUAUAGAAGUGUUUUCUGUUAGUGGAGUGGCAAAAGUUCUUUGGAAUAGGACAUCAUAGAGGGUGAGAAUCCCGUAUUUGGUCAUUCCUCCUAGCGUUGUGAUACACUUUCAACGAGUCGGAUUGUUUGGGAAUGCAGUCCAAAAUGGGUGGUAAAUUUCAUCUAAAGCUAAAUAUUGGCGAGAGACCGAUAGCGAACAAGUACCGUGAGGGAAAGAUGAAAAGAACUUUGAAAAGAGAGUUAAACAGUACGUGAAAUUGUCAAAAGGGAAGCGUUUGACACCAGUGUUGUUUUUCCGAAAAUCUAUUACGAAUGUUUUGUUUUUGAGGAGUUAUGACUUCAUCGGCUUGCUCCUUUCUUUACGAAACUUUCUUAAUGCACUUUUCGGUUAACAAGUCAACAUCAAUUUCUUUUGUUGUAAAAGGGUAUGAGGAAGGUGGCUUUCUUUUCGGAGAAAGUGUUUAUAGCCUUGUGCCUCUGCAAUCGGAGAGAUUGAGGUCUGCAGCGUAGAUCCUUCGGGGUUAGAUACAGUUUGUGCUAAGUUAUAGCUUUUCAUAGACAACCUGUUGACUAUGUUAGUCUUGUAGCUUACUCGCUUAUGCUAUUUUACCUACGCUUAGGAUGUUGAAGAUGUAGCACAUCAU
rnacentral:rRNA from 1 species